AACGGUCGCUCCACCGGCUGAUGCACGCUUGAACUACUUGAACGGGCUUGGGCUUUCAUCUCCUGUCUCUACACCGACGACGAUGACCGCGAGUCGGGCAGCUUUCGUUUCGACAACGUAGUACGCGAACCGGUGCUCCGUAGCGACUUCGUCGUGGCUACCUCGAACAACAUCCAUGACCUGGACGUCGAAGGCGAGGAUGCUGCAUUGCGCUGCCUUGCCACAAUUGAGUGCCCAUGCUGCAAGUUCAGUCGUAACCUCGUGGAGUGGGUGGGAUCCAACUUCAUGGAGAAAGUAAAGGCUGAAGAGCUGUGUUUGAGUAUGCUUUGCUGGUGCUCAUUCUGUUUUUAGCCAUUUCAAAAGAUGUAAGAAGUGGCAGUAGUGACCUGAUAUCACUUGGCCCUUGGCUGCUCUUCCGUAUCAACACUGGCUCUGCCCAAACUAGGCACCAAGUUCAAGAGACCAAAGUGUGUAUGCUCACUUCCCGAGUGUGAAAGGGAAAUGCACAUCGGCAUCAGUUAGAAAUAGCAUAAAAAGACGUGAAAAGUCAAAGGAAAAUAAAAGUAUGCAGAGGGAACAAGAGCUGUAAGGGUUCGCCAUAAGACCUGUAAAUAAUUUAUAGUAGUACUGUGUAUUCUUUGGGAGAGUGGUAAGCUGUCAUCAUACCUCUAGAACAGCCAAGAAAACAACGCAGCGUGGAAUAGACCAGACGGACCAGCCAUAAACUUAGUGCUGAAUAAUUGAUCUGGUUGAGUGUUUUGUCACCCGCAAAUCACCCGAAACGUCCGUGUUCUUCACCUUGACUUGGUCAGUGACCGCAUCUACAUCCUCAAAUGUUUCCUUCCUAUGCACACGAAACAAUGUUAAAGAAAAAAAAGCUUUUGCAGAACAAGAUCUCCUUUCUGUAUUGCAUACGACACCCGUCUUCAUGCAAGGGUCUUAUUGUUUGCCUUUUCUAAAGUGUGUGCUUUAUGCUUAUUUCCUGCUCAUUCCUGCCUGCAAGGGUUAUGAAAGCAUGAACUUGACUUCAAGGGACGAGGCAAAAAAGAAAGUACAAUGGAAAGCACGGGCAAACACAUUAUUAACCUUGCUGCAAGUAGACUUGGAAAGAAAGGACUGCAGCUGUUCUUUAGUUGACAAACAUCAUUAUGAUGGUAUUUGUAUUCUUCUGUAAAUCUCAGCUUGGGGCAGCAGCAACACACAAUUGGUGCCAGGGUGAUUGUCUCUUCUUUGCUGUGCCAUCAUGCUGUCAGUUUCUGUAGUGUUUAUAGCAAGCACUAAAGUACGAUGAAUGUUCUGUAAAUAUGUUGCUGCUACAGAUGCUAUGCUUUGAAUUUGAGGCCUUGAAAUGACCCUCCAUUUGCAACUUUUACAGCAGAGCUGUGAUGCUUGAGGUUUGCUGUGUGCCAUAGAUAUAAAAUUAUUGACAUCAUGAACUGGCAUGUGCUCUCUUUGUCCUCUUCUGCUUUGCUCCCAGAACAUGUGUGCCGAUUUGUCCGGCGUGGGAUGCAACAACUCCGAUGGGUGAGAGAACAAGUAGAGAGAAAUUCUCGGCGAGGCGAGAUUUGAACCCCCGUACCCACGAUUCGAAGGCGAGCUUUGUAACCACUCGGCUACCCAGGCACUCUAGCAGAGCAUAGCAUAGGCUUGUAUAGUAUAGUGUAGCAAAGGGAUGAGAAAGGAAUUGAGGGUGAGGGUAGAAAGCAUAGCAUAGAAAGAAAGAAAAAUGGAAACAAAGGGAAGAAACGUGGAAAGAGAAUCAAAGAAAAAAAAGAAUAAUAAGUAGAGUGAGAAGGAGAUAGAAAGAGGAUGUGAGAACAAGAGAAAGAAAGAAAUACAUAAAAAUAAACAGACAAAAAGGAAAAGGAGAGCAAGCAUAGUGAUGUACAAUAUAGUAUGGCAAGGGGUGGGAAAGAGACAGGUGAAAGGGUAAAAGCCUAGCCAAGCCAGGACCAGCAGGUGCCCACCAGCUCUGCUGUAACACAGCCUUGCGCGACUUUGUGCAAGCUGCAAUUUUUUUUUUUUCAUAAAAAGAUUACCGUUUUUAUGAUGUAUGUGCUGGUCUUUCUUGGAGGGACAUGAUUUCAGUAAUGUUACUUUGUCACUGUAUAAUCAUACAAGCACUAACGAUCUUGUCAUGCUUUCUUUAGUUCUUCAGGUGUCAAAUGAUAUUCUCUUAUGUAUGAGUGCAUUUACAUUAUUAUGUCUCACGGUAAACGGAACGAUUAUUUUAUUGAGGUUGAUGCUGGGACUGUUCGUACAUUGUUGAAAAUAACGUCGACAUCCAGCCUUGAAGGAUGCGUACACAAGAAGGAAUUGCAUGAACACGCACGCUGGGAACAUAGAACAAUGCUCAGUGAAGCACAUAGACGUGCAUAUACGAAGCCGCCCAGGUUGUGUGCAAUUACGUUCUCUUGUGUAAGCGUCCUUGAAGGCUGGGCGUUGUUCCUUCGAACAAUUUUAGUUAAAUUGUGUAAACUAUGUUUAUUGUAAAAAAUAAAGCACUCUUCAUAAGUGAAACAUUAUAUGUCUCUGUGAUAUAAUUUUGCUUUCGCGUGGUGCAACUACUAAUUUAAAAUCUAAUUUAAUUUAAUUAAAGUAACCAGUUGAUCACUUAACACCAGCAUUGUGUUUGUGUUCUCCAUAAUACAUUGAGCAGGGCUGUAACUAAGGGGGUGUUGAGGGGUACCACCAUUUGCUAAAGUUAGCCGUUCU